UACGUAGGUGGCAAGCGUUAUCCGGAUUUACUGGGUGUAAAGGGCGUGUAGGCGGGAGUGCAAGUCAGAUGUGAAAACUAUGGGCUCAACCCAUAGCCUGCAUUUGAAACUGUACUUCUUGAGUACUGGAGAGGCAAUCGGAAUUCCGUGUGUAGCGGUGAAAUGCGUAGAUAUACGGAGGAACACCAGUGGCGAAGGCGGAUUGCUGGACAGUAACUGACGCUGAGGCGCGAAAGCGUGGGGAGCAAACAGG
rnacentral:rRNA from 1 species